rnacentral:rRNA from 1 species
GAUGAACGCUAGCGGCAGGCCUAAUACAUGCAAGACGAACGGUAAGUUGAGUAGCAAUACUUAGCCAAGAGUGUCGUACGGGUGCGUAACACGUAUGCAACCUACCCUAUACAGGAGGAUAGCCUAGGGAAACCUGGAUUAACCCUUCAUAGUAUUAUUGGAUGGCAUCAUUUGAUAAUUAAAACUGAGGUGGUAUAGGAUGGGCAUGCGUCUGAUUAGUUAGUUGGCGGGGUAAUGGCCCACCAAGACGAUGAUCAGUAGGGGUUCUGAGAGGAAGAUCCCCCACACUGGCACUGAGAUACGGGCCAGACUCCUACGGGAGGCAGCAGUAGGGAAUAUUGGUCAAUGGAUGCAAGUCUGAACCAGCCAUGCCGCGUGCAGGAAGAAGGCCUUCUGGGGUUGUAAACUGCUUUUGCCAGGGGAUAAAAUUUCCAUGCGUGGAAAACUGAAGGUACCUGGUGAAUAAGCCACGGCUAACUACGUGCCAGCAGCCGCGGUAAUCG